UACGUAGGGUGCAAGCGUUGUCCGGAAUUAUUGGGCGUAAAGAGCUCGUAGGCGGUUUGUCGCGUCUGCUGUGAAAACUGGAGGCUCAACCUCCAGCCUGCAGUGGGUACGGGCAGACUAGAGUGCGGUAGGGGAGAUUGGAAUCCUGGUGUAGCGGUGGAAUGCGCAGAUAUCAGGAGGAACACCGAUGGCGAAGGCAGAUCUCUGGGCCGUAACUGACGCUGAGGAGCGAAAGCGUGGGGAGCGAACAGG
rnacentral:rRNA from 1 species